rnacentral:rRNA from 1 species
GACGAACGCUGGCGGCGUGCUUAACACAUGCAAGUCGAACGGUGAAGCUCCAGCUUGCUGGAGUGGAUCAGUGGCGAACGGGUGAGUAACACGUGAGCAACCUGCCCCGGACUGUGGAAUAAGAGCUGGAAACGGCUUCUAAUACUUGAUACGAGAAGGGUCCGCAUGGGCACUUUCUGGAAAUUGUUUCGGUUGUGGAUGGGCUCGCGCCUUAUCAGCUUGUUGGUCAGGUAAUACCUCACCAAGGCGACGACGGGUAGUCGGCCUGAGAGGACGACCGGCCACACGACUACUGAGACACGCCCCAGAGUCGUACCGGGCACAGCAGUGAGGAAUAGUGCACAAUGGUCGGAAGCCUGAUGCAGCGACCCCCCGUGAGGGAUGACGGCCUUCGGGUUGUAAACCUCUUUCAGCAGGGAAGAAGCGAAAGUAACGGUACCUGCAAAAGAAGCACCGGCUAACUACGUG